rnacentral:rRNA from 1 species
AGGACGAACGCUGGCGGCGUGCUUAACACAUGCAAGUCGAGCGGAAAGGCCCUUCGGGGUACUCGAGCGGCGAACGGGUGAGUAACACGUGAGCAACCUGCCCCUGGCUCUGGGAUAGCUCCGGGAAACCGGGAUUAAUACCGGAUGUGACCUUCUCCUGCAUGGGAGUUGGUGGAAAGUUUUUCGGCUGGGGAUGGGCUCGCGGCCUAUCAGCUUGUUGGUGGGGUGAUGGCCUACCAGGCGACGACGGGUA